CCAGACAUUCCCAUUACAAUGUCAAAUUUUCCAGAAGGAACCAGGUUAAAGACCUUGCAUCUCCAGUUAAAGUGAUUUCAUGUAGCAGAUCUCUGCUUGAGAACUUGGAGAGUCACUACAAAUCAAAGGAAGCAGUUCUGUGUUUGAUGAAUCAAUGAUCUCAGGCUCAGUGAGUACAAGACAACCUCCUCUGUUCACAUCUAAGCUAAACUUUACAGCAGUCUUUCUUAACUAUAGCAACCACCAAGUAAGUUAGCCAGGAUGGUCACAGAAUCUUCCAUUUUAGGUUUGUACUCAGUGGGUGGGGACCUUCAAAACCAUUUUUUUCUUUAACGAAUAACAUUUUGAUUCCCAUUGCUUUCCUUUUAUAGUAGCUGUUGAGGCCUAGUUCUUUUUGGCAGCAAUUGCUUUUAAAGAAAUCCACCUUCCUUUUCAGCUCUUUCCCCCACCUCCUUCAUUUUAUUAUUUUUUAAGAACCUGUGCCUGAAAACUCCAUCUGCUACCAUUGUUUAUUCUCACCUGAAGCCAUAUUGUGCCAUUUGUGUCAUCACGACUAUUGCCAUCUCCACUAAUUGCAACACCUACCACAGGAUGGCGGCUUCAAGGGGGGGUGCAGAGUGGCAGCUGAGCUUUUAAGCAACAAAGACACCUGGUUUUGUGCUAAUUUCUCUUUGCAAUAAAAAUGGAGUUAUUAAAAAUAUAUAAGGUGAAAACAACAGUUAGAAUAAAUUGCUUUGGAAAUUUUCCACAAGGCAUUGGUGUGCUUCUCGCAUGUAAACGAGCGACUAUGACAUCCCUGGAGGGAAUCGUAAAUGUAUGUAUGUUUUUAACACCCCGAUUCUCAACAGCAGAAAUCCUACUGAAGCUUUGCUAUUGCAAAAGAUGUGAGAACCAGAGUGCCAGUGUAAGCUCAUUUCAUUAUUAAAACUGUUGGUGUCAAUUAGUGACUUUGUCUGUGCGCUAGAAGUUUUCUGCUAGGUGUUUAGGAAUGUUCCAGUCCUUGUUUCCACAGUCUCACAUAUGAUGCUAUGUAGCACCUGCAGCAAAACACUUUUAGAAAGCAGGUUCAAUGUUGUUGAGUCAUAAGAACAUAAAAAGAGCCUGCUGGAUCCUGCCAAUGGCCCAUUUAUUCCAGCAUCCUGUUAUCACAGUCAUCAGCCAGACGACCUUGGAAGGCCUGCAAGCUGGACAUGUGCACAACUGCACUCUGCCCACCUGCAACUCCCAGCAACCGGUCUUCAGAGACAAAACGGUGGUGUGUAGCUGUUGACAGCUGUGUCCUCCAUGCAUUUGUCCAAUCCUCUUUUUAAACCAUCCACGUUGGUGGUCCUUCAAUUUCUGGUAAAGGCAAGGAAAGACAAAUAGCAAGGGGCUCCUAUAAAUCUAGCAUAGAUGUUUCAAUUGUAGUCACAAUGAUGCAACCUAUCUCUACCAUUUAAAUCAUGUAAUUGUAGGAAGCGAAAAUAACAGAGAUCCAUCCUGCAACGAUAUCAGCAUGAUCAAAAUCCUUACCACUUAAAUGUGUUCGCUAAGGGCACCCAACAGGCCUCCGCUACAAGUAAGGCAUUUAGCACUGCUGUUCCCAUGCUGUGGAACACUCUUCCAGCAAAGGUACACAGUUAUCCUCACUUUUAAUAAUAAUAAAACUUUAUUUAUAUCCCGCCCUCCCCAGCCGA